rnacentral:rRNA from 1 species
AGUCGAACGCAAAUAGCAAUAUUUGAGUGGCGCACGGGUGAGUAACACGUAGCUUACCUCCCCCCAAGAGUGGGAUAACGGUUCGAAAGAGCUGCUAAUACCGCAUAAGCUCCCGGUCUGUAGAGGACUGAGAGAAAAGGGGAAACUCGCUUGGGGACGGGGCUGCGGCCCAUCAGCUAGAUGGUGAGGUAAAGGCUUACCAUGGCGACGACGGGUAGGGGACCUGAGAGGGUGACCCCCCACACUGGGACUGAGACACGGCCCAGACUCCUACGGGAGGCAGCAGUGAGGAAUAUUGCACAAUGGGCGCAAGCCUGAUGCAGCGACGCCGCGUGAGUGAAGAAGGCCUUCGGGUCGUAAAGCUCUUUUCUGCGUGACGAGCAAGGACGGUAGCGCAGGAAUAAGUCUCGGCUAACUACGUGCCAGCAGCCGCGGUAAAACGUAGGAGACAAACGUUAUCCGGAGUUACUGGGCGUAAAGGGCGUGUAGGCGGUCUGUUAAGUCUGGCGUGAAAGCUCUCGGCUAAACCGGGAGAGGUCGUUGGAUACUGGCAGACUAGAGGACGGUAGAGGCGUGUGGAAUUCCGGGUGUAGUGGUGAAAUGCGUAGAGAUCCGGAGGAACACCAGUGGCGAAGGCGACACGCUGGGCCGUACCUGACGCUAAAGCGCGACAGCAUGGGGAGCAAACGGGAUUAGAAACCCCGGUAGUCCAUGCCGUAAACGAUGUCAGCUAGAUGUUCAAGCCGCGCAAGCGGCUGGGGUAUCGAAGCCAACGCGAUAAGCUGACCGCCUGGGGAGUACGGUCGCAAGGC